GACACAUUAACUUCUGUUUAGUUUCCAGAAGAACAUUUUCUAGCAUUUUGCAAUAUUUAUCUUUAUUGCAUGAUCACUUUAUUCAGAUUUACAAAUAAAGUAAAGUACGUAUAUUAUCUACAAAUAAAACUGUCGGAUGGAAUUGGAUUAUAAUCUCGAACUGCCUGUGCCAGUGUAUAGGUAGGGAUCUGCAACUUAUCUGAAAAAUACAAGGAGAAAUACAAGGAGAACUUCGAUGUUUCGAGCGUUUCCCUUGUCAGAAAGUUAGUAGCGGAUAGCCUUCGCUCGUAACGUCGAAGUUCGCCUUGUAUUUUUCAAGUAGUUGCAUCCGUAUCAAUCUGAAGCUUUCUUGGAAUUGGAUAUACUGUAUGUCGGUUAGUAUUAUUGCAAACAUAGGCGUACCGGGCGGGGGGGGGCGGUAGCCCCCCCAGUUUUUUGGGCAGUCGGGCAAUAUUCGAUUAACAGUCGGGCAAUUUUGGUUUGCAAUAAAAAAAAAUGGGACAAAU